rnacentral:lncRNA from 1 species
UGCAGAUUGUGAAACCAGAACAGAUGAUUGUUGUAACACUGUCCCAUUUCAUGCUUGCAGUUACUGUAAAGAAAACAACCUGUAACUUGAGUCUGUGUGAAACAUUCUGAAGAGAGAUUGUGAAACCAGAACAGAUGAUUGUUGUAACACUGUC